GACGAACGCUGGCGGCGUGCCUAAUACAUGCAAGUCGAACGCUUCUUUUUCCACCGGAGCUUGCUCCACCGGAAAAAGAGGAGUGGCGAACGGGUGAGUAACACGUGGGUAACCUGCCCAUCAGAAGGGGAUAACACUUGGAAACAGGUGCUAAUACCGUAUAACAAUCGAAACCGCAUGGUUUUAUUUGAAAGGCGCUUUCGGGUGUCGCUGAUGGAUGGACCCGCGGUGCAUUAGCUAGUUGGUGAGGUAACGGCCCACCAAGGCCACGAUGCCUAGCCGACCUGAGAGGGUGAUCGGCCACAUUGGGACUGAAACACGGCCCAAACUCCUACGGGAGGCAGCAGUAGGGAAUCUUCGGCAAUGGACGAAAGUCUGACCGAGCAACGCCGCGUGAGUGAAGAAGGUUUUCGGAUCGUAAAACUCUGUUGUUAGAGAAGAACAAGGAUGAGAGUAACUGUUCAUCCCUUGACGGUGUCUAGCCAGAAAGCCACGGCUAACUACGUGCCAGCCGCCGCAGUAA
rnacentral:rRNA from 1 species